rnacentral:rRNA from 1 species
AUGAACGCUGGCGGCGUGGAUAAGGCAUGCAAGUCGAGAGGGUUAGACCCUCGGCAAACGGGUUAGUAAUACAUAGGAACGUACCCUCAAGUCGUGAAUAAUCCGGAGAAAUCCGGAAUAAUACACGAUGCACUCUACGGAGUAAAGAUUUAUCGCUUGAGGAGCGGCCUGUGUCCUAUCAGCUAGUUGGUAGUGUAAUGGACUACCAAGGCUAUGACGGGUAGGGGGCGUGAGAGCGUGAUCCCCAACAUUGGAACUGAGACACUGUCCAAACUCCUACGGGAGGCUGCAGUCGAGAAUAUUCGGCAAUGGGCGAAAGCCUGACCGAGCGACGCCGCGUGCAGGAUGAAGGCCUUCGGGUUGUAAACUGCUUUUCUAUGGGAACAAAUUAUUGAGCGUACCAUAGGAAUAAGAGGUUACUAACUCUGU